rnacentral:rRNA from 1 species
UACGGAGGGUGCAAGCGUUAAUCGGAAUUACUGGGCGUAAAGCGUGCGCAGGCGGUUUGUUAAGUCCGUUGUGAAAGCCCCGAGCUCAACUUGGGAAUUGCAGUGGAUACUGGCAGGCUGGAGUACGGUAGAGGAAGGUGGAAUUCCCGGUGUAGCAGUGAAAUGCGUAGAUAUCGGGAAGAACACCCGUGGCGAAGGCGGCUCUCUGGAACGCAACUGACGCUGAGACGCGAAAGCGUGGGGAGCAAACAGG